AUGAACGCUGGCGGCGUGCCUAAUACCUGCCAGUCGAGCGAACAGACGAGGAGCUUGCUCCUCUGACGUUAGCGGCGGACGGGUGAGUAACACGUGGAUAACCUACCUAUAAGACUGGGAUAACUUCGGGAAACCGGAGCUAAUACCGGAUAAUAUAUUGAACCGCAUGGUUCAAUAGUGAAAGACGGUUUUGCUGUCACUUAUAGAUGGAUCCGCGCCGCAUUAGCUAGUUGGUAAGGUAACGGCUUACCAAGGCAACGAUGCGUAGCCGACCUGAGAGGGUGAUCGGCCACACUGGAACUGAGACACGGUCCAGACUCCUACGGGAGGCAGCAGUAGGGAAUCUUCCGCAAUGGGCGAAAGCUUGACGGAGCAACGCCGCGUGAGUGAUGAAGGUCUUCGGAUCGUAAAACUCUGUUAUUAGGGAAGAACAAAUGUGUAAGUAACUAUGCACGUCUUGACGGUACCUAAUCAGAAAGCCACGGCUAACUACGU
rnacentral:rRNA from 1 species